GCAGUCGACGAUGAAGCCCAGCUUGCUGGGUGGAUUAGUGGCGAACGGGUGAGUAAUUCGUGAGUAACCUGCCCUUAACUCUGGGAUAAGCCUGGGAAACUGGGUCUAAUACCGGAUAGGAGCGUCCACCGCAUGGUGGGUGUUGGAAAGAUUUAUCGGUUUUGGAUGGACUCGCGGCCUAUCAGCUUGUUGGUGAGGUAAUGGCUCACCAAGGCGACGACGGGUAGCCGGCCUGAGAGGGUGACCGGCCACACUGGGACUGAGACACGGCCCAGACUCCUACGGGAGGCAGCAGUGGGGAAUAUUGCACAAUGGGCGCAAGCCUGAUGCAGCGACGCCGCGUGAGGGAUGACGGCCUUCGGGUUGUAAACCUCUUUCAGUAGGGAAGAAGCGAAAGUGACGGUACCUGCAGAAGAAGCACCGGCUAACUACGUGCCAGCAGCCGCGGUAAUACGUAGGGUGCGAGCGUUAUCCGGAAUUAUUGGGCGUAAAGAGCUCGUAGGCGGUUUGUCGCGUCUGUCGUGAAAGUCCGGGGCUUAACCCCGGAUCUGCGGUGGGUACGGGCAGACUAGAGUGCAGUAGGGGAGACUGGAAUUCCUGGUGUAGCGGUGGAAUGCGCAGAUAUCAGGAGGAACACCGAUGGCGAAGGCAGGUCUCUGGGCUGUAACUGACGCUGAGGAGCGAAAGCAUGGGGAGCGAACAGGAUUAGAUACCCUGGUAGUCCAUGCCGUAAACGUUGGGCACUAGGUGUGGGGACCAUUCCACGGUUUCCGCGCCGCAGCUAACGCAUUAAGUGCCCCGCCUGGGGAGUACGGCCGCAAGGCUAAAACUCAAAGGAAUUGACGGGGGCCCGCACAAGCGGCGGAGCAUGCGGAUUAAUUCGAUGCAACGCGAAGAACCUUACCAAGGCUUGACAUGUUCUCGAUCGCCGUAGAGAUACGGUUUCCCCUUUGGGGCGGGUUCACAGGUGGUGCAUGGUUGUCGUCAGCUCGUGUCGUGAGAUGUUGGGUUAAGUCCCGCAACGAGCGCAACCCUCGUUCCAUGUUGCCAGCACGUAAU
rnacentral:rRNA from 1 species